CUGUGACGAUGACGAAGGCAGAGCAAUUAACGACACCUGGCAGAAGGAGCCGGCCAAGGUGCCGGGCACAGAGGGGCAGGGCCGCACGACACCCAGAAACCCAACUGGCUGAUAUCACAUGCCCCGCCUUGGAGCAGACUGGGACUGGAGCCAAGGAAGAGGAAGCGAAGAGGAGGCAGCUGAGAGUUUCCUCUAGGACGACGGAAAAGGCGCAGGAAGGGCUGCCUUUAAAUCCCUGGGUGCCUCUGGACAGCCCUGCCAAGCAGCAGGGCAGCAAACCUGUGCCAGCCUGCAAUGUGAAGCCCUAAAGCUUUGGCAUCUCUGCUGGGCUCUGAGCCAGGUGCCUGGCAGGGCCCCAAGAACUACUUUCAGCAAAUCUUCAGGCAACGCCGAAGGUGGUGAGAAGCAGGAGGCAGAGCGAGAAGGCAGGAAUGGAGGGGCCCCCUAGAGGCACCAGCUUAAGAGGAAGGUUCACGAGCUCAGGAGGACUUGGGGGAGUGCUGCAAGAUGGUGCGAGAAAUGGAGAAGGAAGACAGAACGGGGUAAGAGAGAGAAGAGGAGAGAAAGAACGCAGGAGAGGAGGGAGAGGAGAAAACGGAAAGGAGUCAGAGACUGGGAGGAUGUCCAAGCUGCCGGGACCUCAGAGAACCCGUGUCGUUAGCUACCGUGCCUGAAGGGGGACAACAAACACGGAGGACGGAGGAAGAAUGGCUCCUCCGUUGACGGAGAUGCGGAAUGGCUCCAGAGUCAGAGGGCUUCCUGAGUCUUCCGGAGUCUAACUGAAGAUCCGGUUGCAGCAGAAGCCCAUUUCUUUCAGCCUUGCCCACCAUGCCUGCCACCCGACCUCCACCUGUCCCCCGAGUGGGGGGCUCCCUGGCUCUAAGACAGCUCCCACCAGCCAUUUUCUUCUCCAGAGAAAGCAUUUUCAGUUCUUUCAA
rnacentral:lncRNA from 1 species